rnacentral:rRNA from 1 species
CGCUAAUACCGCAUACGGUCCUACGGGAGAAANCGGGGGGAUCUUCGGACCUCGCGCCAUUAGAUGAGCCUAGGUCGGAUUAGCUAGUUGGUGAGGUAAUGGCUCACCAAGGCGACGAUCCGUAACUGGUCUGANAGGAUGAUCAGUCACACUGGAACUGAGACACGGUCCAGACUCCUACGGGAGGCAGCAGUGGGGAAUAUUGGACAAUGGGCGAAAGCCUGAUCCAGCCAUGCCGCGUGUGUGAAGAAGGUCUUCGGAUUGUAAAGCACUUUAAGUUGGGAGGAAGGGUAGUAACCUAAUACGUUGCUACUUUGACGUUACCGACAGAAUAAGCACCGGCUAACUUCGUG